UGUAGUUCAGUCGGUAGAACGGCGGACUGUUAAUCCGUAUGUCACUGGUUCGAGUCCAGUCA
rnacentral:tRNA from 17 species